GACGAACGCUGGCGGCGUGCCUAAUACAUGCAAGUCGAGCGCAGGAAACUGACGGGACUCUUCGGAGGGAAGGCAGUGGAAUGAGCGGCGGACGGGUGAGUAACACGUAAGGAACCUGCCUCAAGGAUUGGGAUAACUCCGAGAAAUCGGAGCUAAUACCGGAUAGUUCAACGGACCGCAUGGUCCGCUGAUGAAAGGCGCUUCGGCGUCACCUUGAGAUGGCCUUGCGGUGCAUUAGCUAGUUGGUGGGGUAACGGCCCACCAAGGCGACGAUGCAUAGCCGACCUGAGAGGGUGAUCGGCCACACUGGGACUGAGACACGGCCCAGACUCCUACGGGAGGCAGCAGUAGGGAAUCUUCCACAAUGGACGAAAGUCUGAUGGAGCAACGCCGCGUGAGUGAUGAAGGUUUUCGGAUCGUAAAACUCUGUUGUAAGGGAAGAACACGUACGAGAGGAAAUGCUCGUACCUUGACGGUACCUUACGAGAAAGCCACGGCUAACUACGUGCCAGCAGCCGCAGUAA
rnacentral:rRNA from 1 species